GCAUCUCUAACCGAAACCGGACACCAGUGAAAACCGGAAAAGCAUGAAACUGGAAGCAAGCUGGCAAACAGUCCCAGCUGAAGUGACUUACUUGGUUUUGCAGUAUGCAACGACGCACACGAUGCCAACCACCAGCAGAGCAACGCAAAUGCCUGUUAUGAAUGGUGAAAUCCGAGGAAAGGUUCACGCUGAUGUAACAUGGGUUACCAAUAUACUACACUUAGCCUUCCUCAUAAACUUCCAAUUAUACAGUGUGCGUUUAAGCCAGAAACCAGCAUAGCAUUAAUAUGAUAAAGAUGUCAGAAUAUGUUUCCAUUCAGAAUAAAUUCCA